AUUGAACGCUGGCGGCAGGCCUAACACAUGCAAGUCGAACGGUAACAGGAAGAAGCUUGCUUCUUUGCUGACGAGUGGCGGACGGGUGAGUAAUGUCUGGGAAACUGCCUGAUGGAGGGGGAUAACUACUGGAAACGGUAGCUAAUACCGCAUAACGUCGCAAGACCAAAGAGGGGGACCUUCGGGCCUCUUGCCAUCGGAUGUGCCCAGAUGGGAUUAGCUAGUAGGUGGGGUAACGGCUCACCUAGGCGACGAUCCCUAGCUGGUCUGAGAGGAUGACCAGCCACACUGGAACUGAGACACGGUCCAGACUCCUACGGGAGGCAGCAGUGGGGAAUAUUGCACAAUGGUCGCAAGCCUGAUGCAGCCAUGCCGCGUGUAUGAAGAAGGCCUUCGGGUUGUAAAGUACUUUCAGCGGGGAGGAAGGGAGUAAAGUUAAUACCUUUGCUCAUUGACGUUUCCCGCAGAAGAAGCACCGGCUAACUCCGUG
rnacentral:rRNA from 1 species